UACGGAGGGUGCAAGCGUUGUUCGGAAUCACUGGGCGUAAAGGGCGCGUAGGCGGUCUGGGAAGUCCGAUGUGAAAGCCCUGGGCUCAACCUGGGAACUGCAUUCGAUACUGUCGAGCUAGAGUGUGGGAGAGGGUGGUGGAAUUCCCGGUGUAGCGGUGAAAUGCGUAGAUAUCGGGAGGAACAUCAGUGGCGAAGGCGACCGCCUGGCCCAACACUGACGCUGAGGUGCGAAAGCGUGGGUAGCAAACAGGAUUAGAAACCCCGGUAGU
rnacentral:rRNA from 1 species